rnacentral:rRNA from 1 species
GCGCAGCAGUCGCGAAUACUCCACACUGUGCGAAAGCACAAUGAGGGAAUCCCAAGUGCUUGCACGUAAGUGUAAGCUGUUUCUCUGUUUAAAACGCAGAGAGAGUAAGGGCUGGGUAAGACGGGUGCCAGCCGCCGCGGUAAUACCUGCAGCUCAAGUGGUGACCGUUAUUAUUGGGCCUAAAACGUCCGUAGCCGGUUUAAUAAAUGCCUGGGUAAAUCGUGUAGCUUAACUAUACGAAUUCCGGGUAGACUGUUAAACUCGAGACCGGGAGAAGUUAGAGGUACUCCUGGGGUAGAGGUGAAAAUUCUGUAAUCCUAGGGGGACCACCAGUGGCGAAGGCGUCUAACUAGAACGGGUCUGACGGUGAGGGACGAAGCCCUGGGGCGCAAAC